GACACACUGUUACUAUCAUCCUGAGUUUAAAUUGAGAUACUAUUUCCAGUGCUCAGUGCAUUCAUGUAAUUAAUCCUACCGGUUACCCAUUCACCUCAUCUAGGUUGAGUGCAAUACAAUGUGGGUAAAUUUCUUGAGGAAAGAAUCAUGCCAAGGCUAAGUUUUAAACUGGUAUGGGAGGGUAACAUGGUGCUUGAGUAAAAUCAAGGUGGGGAUUCUGAGAACUUGAGAAGGACUGAGAGCAAUGGGGAGAGUGAUGUGAAGCCUCUGCAUCAACAUGCCUGAACUAGAAGCCACUGCCUACAAAGUACUAGUACAGCCUCUUGUUGAAUACUGUUCUUUGAUAUGGGAUCCAUCAAUCAAUCGUCUUAUUCACCAGAUUGAGAUGAUCCAAAGGCCGGAAACUAGAUUCGUGCUACAGAUAUGACAACACCUCUAGCGUUACAUCUAUGCUUGAAGAACUGGGAUGGCCCACACUACAGAAAUGAAGGGAGGAUUCUAGACUGGUCCUUAUGUACAAGCUGCACCACAAUCUUGUCAGCUUCCCAGUGGAAGAAUACAUCACCCCACUAACUGGAUCAACAAGAACUUCACCGCAGCAACAAGGGAACGGCUACCAGCUACCACACUGCAGGACAGAGCACCAUCGUCAAUCCUUCUUUCCAAGGACGAUCAAGGUAUGGAAUACUCUCCUUCCCAACAUAAUAAAUGCCUCUUCUCCAAAAGCCUUCCGCCUGAGACUGGCGGAAGGCCAGAGCUAAACCAGAUGGGAUAUUUAACUAGCACCCAUAAAUAUAUUUGCUCUGCACACCUACAUGGUCAUACACACAUGCCAAAUAAACCAUCUGCAAGAAUCUUCAACCCUGACGGAGGCAGAUGUAACCUUAAGCCGAUGGAAAGGAAGAAGACUGGUUUUGAUGAAGACGUUAGGUUUGGAAGAGACGGUGGAUAAGGUUUUGAAAGUAUAUUCGAGUGUGCAAAACACAGGUGCACGUUUAUAUGUCGUCUUCUCAAAUUCUCUCCAGUCACCCAAUUAUUGAGAGAAUUACACUGGUUACCUGUCCAGUAAAGAAUCACAUUUAAGAUCCUAAUGAUAGUCUUCAAAUGUCUUCAUGGUCAGGCCCCAGGUUCUAUCUCAGAUCUCUUGAGAUUGAAAUACUAAAUUCAUGCCCAUAACCUUCGUAGCUCACAAGAUACACUAACACUGCAAGUACCCCACACAAGACUAAAGCAACACUAGGAGAUCUGAUGUCAGCCCCACAACUGUAGAACAAACUUCCCCUCAACAUAAUGAACUCAACAAUUUCUUAUAAUUUCAAGUUAAAAUUAGAAACCUAUCUAUUCCAAUAGUAUGUACAUGUACAGCACCUAGGAAGCUCUUGCAGCGCAAUAGAAUAUAUAGAAAUAGUUUUUGCGCUAUAUAAAUGCAUAUUAUUAUUACUUAUGUUGGUAUGGGCAUAUGUCAAGGGAGAAUUGAAAAGAGUGCUUCAAUUCAAAGUGGCUGGUCAGACGGGAGGAGGGAACCAAAGAAGACAUGGAAGAAGCAAGAGGUGGAGGAGAAUAGGAUGGCUAAAUUGAUGGAGGAUGGUCAGAGAGGAAGGGGCUGACCAAAGAAGACAUGGAAGAAGCAAGAGGUGGAGGAGAAUAGGAUGGCUAAAUUGAUGGAUGGUCAGAGAGGAAGGGGCUGACCAAACAAGACAUGGAAGAAGCAAGAGGUGGAGGAGAGUAUGAGGGUUAGAUUGAGGGAGGAUGGUCAGAGAGGAAGGGGCUGACCAAACAAGACAUAGAAGAAGCAAGAGGUGGAGGAGAGUAUGAGGGUUAGACUGAGGGAGGAAGGUCAGAGAGGAAGGGGCUGACCAAACAAGACAUGGAAGAAGCAAAAGGUGGUGGAGGGUAUGAGGGUUAGAUUGAGGGAGGAUGGUCAGAGGGGAAGGGGGUGACCAAACAAGACAUGGAAGAAGCAAGAGGUGGAGGAGAGUAUGAGGGUUAGAUUGAGGGAGGAUGGUCAGAGGGGAAGGGGCUGACCAAACAAGACAUGGAAGAAGCAAGAGGUGGAGGAGAGUAUGAGGGUUAGAUUGAGGGAGGAUGGUCAGAGGGGAAGGGGAUGACCAAACACGACAUGGAAGAAGCAAGAGGUGGAGGAGAAUAGGAUGGCUAAAUUGAUGGAGGAUGGUCAGAGAGGAAGGGGCUGACCAAACAAGACAUAGAAGAAGCAAAAGGUGGUGGAGGGUAUGAGGGUUAGAUUGAGGGAGGAUGGUCAGAGAGGAAGGGGCUGACCAAACAAGACAUGGAAGAAGCAAGAGGUGGAGGAGAGUAUGAGGGUUAGAUUGAGGGAGGAUGGUCAGAGGGGAAGGGGCUGACCAAACAAGACAUGGAAGAAGCAAGAGGUGGAGGAGAGUAUGAGGGUUAGAUUGAGGGAGGAUGGUCAGAGAGGAAGGGGCUGACCAAACAAGACAUGGAAGAAGCAAGAGGUGGAGGAGAGUAUGAGGGUUAGAUUGAGGGAGGAUGGUCAGAGAGGAAGGGGCUGACCAAACAAGACAUGGAAGAAGCAAGAGGUGGAGGAGGGUAUGAGGGUUAGAUUGAGGGAGGAUGGUCAGAGGGGAAGGGGCUGACCAAACAAGACAUGGAAGAAGCAAGAGGUGGAGGAGAGUAUGAGGGUUAGAUUGAGGGAGGAUGGUCAGAGGGGAAGGGGCUGACCAAACAAGACAUGGAAGAAGCAAGAGGUGGAGGAGAGUAUGAGGGUUAGACUGAGGGAGGAUGGUCAGAGAGGAGGGGGCUGACCAAACAAGACAUGGAAGAAGCAAGAGGUGGAGGAGAGUAUGAGGGUUAGACUGAGGGAGGAUGGUCAGAGAGGAAGGGGCUGACCAAACAAUACAUGGAAGAAGCAAGAGGUGGAGGAGAAUAGGAUGGCUAAAUUGAUGGAGGAUGGUCAGAGAGGAAGGGGCUGACCAAAGAAGACAUGGAAGAAGCAAGAGGUGGAGGAGAAUAGGAUGGCUAAAUUGAUGGAGGAUGGUCAGAGAGGAAGGGGCUGACCAAACAAGACAUGGAAGAAGCAAGAGGUGGAGGAGAGUAUGAGGGUUAGAUUGAGGGAGGAUGGUCAGAGAGGAAGGGGCUGACCAAACAAGACAUGGAAGAAGCAAGAGGUGGAGGAGAAUAGGAUGGCUAAAUUGAUGGAGGAUGGUCAGAGAGGAAGGGGCUGACCAAACAAGACAUGGAAGAAGCAAGAGGUGGAGGAGAAUAGGAUGGUUAAAUUGAUGGAGGAUGGUCAGAGAGGAAG